CCUGGUGGACGACAGUUUGGCCAUGAGCCAGCAGUGUGCCCUUGUGGCCAAGAGGGCCAAUGGCAUCCUGGGAUGCAUUAAAAAGAGCAUGGCCAGCAGGUCGAGGGAGGUGAUCCUCCCCCUCUACUCUGCCCUGGUAAGGCCUCAUCUGGAGUACUGCGUCCAGUUCUGGGCUCCCCAGUACAAAAAAGACAGGGAUCUCUUGGAAAGAGUCCAGCGGAGGGCCACGAAGAUGCUGAAGGGCCUGGAGCAUCUCCCUUAUGAAGAAAGGCUGAGUGAACUGGGUCUGUUCAGCCUUGAGAAAAGGAGACUGAGAGGGGACCUGAUCCAGGUCUAUAAAUAUCUAAGGUGUGGGGGGCAGAAUGGCGAGGCCGGACUCUUUUCAGUGGUGAGUGGAGACAGGACAAGGGGAAACGGCCGGAAACUGCAGCAUAGGAAGUUCUGCACAAACAUGCGCAAGAACUUCUUUACAGUGAGGUGACGGAGCACUGGAACAGGCUGC